rnacentral:rRNA from 1 species
AUUGAACGCUGGCGGCAUGCCUUACACAUGCAAGUCGAACGGCAGCGCGGGGCAACCUGGCGGCGAGUGGCGAACGGGUGAGUAAUAUAUCGGAACGUGCCCUGGAGUGGGGAUAACGUAGCGAAAGUUACGCUAAUACCGCAUACGAUCCAAGGAUGAAAGCAGGGGACCUUCGGGCCUUGUGCUCCUGGAGCGGCCGAUAUCUGAUUAGCUAGUUGGUGGGGUAAAAGCCUACCAAGGCGACGAUCAGUAGCUGGUCUGAGAGGACGACCAGCCACACUGGAACUGAGACACGGUCCAGACUCCUACGGGAGGCAGCAGUGGGGAAUUUUGGACAAUGGGGGCAACCCUGAUCCAGCAAUGCCGCGUGUGUGAAGAAGGCCU